CAGCCGCCGCGGGAAUACAGAGGGUGCGAGCGUUAAUCGGAUUUACUGGGCGUAAAGCGUGCGUAGGCGGCUUUUUAAGUCGGAUGUGAAAUCCCUGAGCUUAACUUAGGAAUUGCAUUCGAUACUGGGAAGCUAGAGUAUGGGAGAGGAUGGUAGAAUUCCAGGUGUAGCGGUGAAAUGCGUAGAGAUCUGGAGGAAUACCGAUGGCGAAGGCAGCCAUCUGGCCUGAUACUGACGCUGAGGUACGAAAGCAUGGGGAGCAAACAGGAUUAGAUACCCGAGUAGUCCCUGUCUCUUAUAC
rnacentral:rRNA from 1 species